AGUGAACGCUGGCGGUAGGCCUAACACAUGCAAGUCGAACGGCAGCACAGUAAGAGCUUGCUCUUACGGGUGGCGAGUGGCGGACGGGUGAGGAAUACAUCGGACUCUACUUUUUCGUGGGGGAUAACGUAGGGAAACUUACGCCAAUACCGCAUACGACCUACGGGUGAAAGCAUGGGAUCUUUGGACCUUGCGCGGAUGAAUGAGCCGAUGUCGGUUUAGUUGGUUGGCGGGGUAAAUGCCCACCCGGGCGACGAUCGGUAGCUAGACUGAGUGGAUGGUCGGCCACACGGGAGGUGAGACACGGUCCAGACUCCUAAGGGAGGCAGCAGUGGGGAAUAUUGGACAAUGGGCGCAAACCUGAUCCAGCCAUACCGCGUGGGUGAAGAAGGCCUUCGGGUUGUAAAGCCCUUUUGUUGGGAAAGAAAAGCAGCAGGUUAAUACCCCGCUGUUCUGACGGUACCCAAAGAAUAAGCACCGGCUAACUUCGUG
rnacentral:rRNA from 1 species